AUUGAACGCUGGCGGCAUGCCUUACACAUGCAAGUCGAACGGUAACAGGUCUUCGGAUGCUGACGAGUGGCGAACGGGUGAGUAAUACAUCGGAACGUACCCGAUCGUGGGGGAUAACGAAGCGAAAGCUUUGCUAAUACCGCAUAAGAUCUACGGAUGAAAGCAGGGGACCGCAAGGCCUUGCGCGAACGGAGCGGCCGAUGGCAGAUUAGGUAGUUGGUGGGAUAAAAGCUUACCAAGCCGACGAUCUGUAGCUGGUCUGAGAGGACGACCAGCCACACUGGGACUGAGACACGGCCCAGACUCCUACGGGAGGCAGCAGUGGGGAAUUUUGGAAAAUGGGCGAAAGCCUGAUCCAGCCAUGCCGCGUGCAGGAUGAAGGCCUUCGGGUUGUAAACUGCUUUUGUACGGAACGAAAAGACUCUUUCUAAUAAAGAGGGUCCAUGACGGUACCGUAAGAAUAAGCACCGGCUAACUACGUGCCAGCAGCCGCCGCGGUAA
rnacentral:rRNA from 1 species